rnacentral:misc_RNA from 1 species
ACAGAGUUGCAAAACUCCCAAACCCUUUGUGAACGAACCUACCAGUUGCCUCGGCGGCGAGCCCUUAGGGGGCGGACCGCCGGAGGAAUACAAACUCUUUGCAUUAAUGUAUCUCUUGAAUUACUUAUUCAAUAAGUUA